UGCCAGACUCCUACGGGAGGCAGCAGUGGGGAAUAUUGCACAAUGGGGGAAACCCUGAUGCAGCGACGCCGCGUGGGCGAUGAAGUAUUUCGGUAUGUAAAGCUCUAUCAGCAGGGAAGAAAAUGACGGUACCUGACUAAGAAGCCCCGGCUAACUACGUGCCAGCAGCCGCGGUAAUACGUAGGGGGCAAGCGUUAUCCGGAUUUACUGGGUGUAAAGGGAGCGUAGACGGCUUGGCAAGCCAGAUGUGAAAGGCUGGGGCUCAACCCCAGGACUGCAUUUGGAACUGUCAUGCUAGAGUGUCGGAGAGGCAGGCGGAAUUCCUAGUGUAGCGGUGAAAUGCGUAGAUAUUAGGAGGAACACCAGUGGCGAAGGCGGCUUACUGGACUGUAAAUGACGCUGAGGCUCGAAAGCGUGGGGAGCAAACAGGAUUAGAUACCCGAGUA
rnacentral:rRNA from 1 species